GAUGAAGAACGCAGCGAAAUGCGAUACGUAAUGUGAAUUGCAGAACUCAGUGAAUCAUCGAAUCUUUGAACGCACAUUGCGCCCCCUGGUAUUCCGGGGGGCAUGCCUGUCCGAGCGUCAUUGCUGCCCUCAAGCACGGCUUGUGUGUUGGGCCUCCGUCCUCCUCCCGGGGGACGGGCCCGAAAGGCAGCGGCGGCACCGCGUCCGGUCCUCGAGCGUAUGGGGCUUCGUCACCCGCUCUUGUAGGCCCGGCCGGCGCUUGCCGACACAUCAAUCUUUUUUCCAGGUUGACCUCGGAUCAGGUAGGGAUACCCGCUGAACUUAAGCAUAUCAAUAAGCGGAGGA
rnacentral:misc_RNA from 1 species